GAGGGAGGAAGGCUUUUGGGUUGUAAACCUCUUUUUUCAAGGAAGAAGAAAGUGACGGUACUUGAAGAAUAAGCAUCGGCUAACUCCGUGCCAGCAGCCGCGGUAAUACGGAGGAUGCAAGCGUUAUCCGGAAUCAUUGGGCGUAAAGCGUCCGCAGGUGGGCGAUUCAAGUCUGCUGUUAAAGACAGAAGCUCAACUUCUGGCAAGCGGUGGAAACUGGAUAGCUAGAGUACGGUAGGGGUUGAGGGAAUUCCCAGUGUAGCGGUGAAAUGCGUAGAUAUUGGGAAGAACACCAGUGGCGAAGGCGCUCAACUGGGCCGUAACUGACACUCAGGGACGAAAGCUAGGGUAGCGAAAGGGAUUAGAUACCCCUGUAGUCUUAGCUGUAAACGAUGAACACUAGGCGUUGCUUGUAUCGACCCGAGCAGUGCCGUAGCCAACGCGUUAAGUGUUCCGCCUGGGGAGUACGCACGCAAGUGUGAAACUCAAAGGAAUUGACGGGGGCCCGCACAAGCGGUGGAGUAUGUGGUUUA
rnacentral:rRNA from 1 species